UGCGUAGGCGGUUUUUCAAGUCAGAUGUGAAAUACCCGGGCUUAACUCGGGGGGUGCAUCUGAAACUGGAAGACUUGAGUGCAGGAGAGGAAAGUGGAAUUCCUAGUGUAGCGGUGAAAUGCGUAGAUAUUAGGAGGAACACCAGUGGCGAAGGCGACUUUCUGGACUGUAACUGACGCUGAGGCGCGAAAGCGUGGGGAGCAAACA
rnacentral:rRNA from 1 species